AGUGAACUGAGCACUCUGCAUUCUCCCAAAGCUAUCUCUUACUUUAUAGUUAAUAUUUGUUGUUGACCUGCUGGUAUCUGUUAUCUGCGCCCGAUGUCAUCCUGAAUGCUAUUAGCUGCAAAUGUUAUAAUUAUAUGGCUCAAGGACAAAUAGUUCAAGCAUCUUUUUGUAAUGGGCUAUGGUGGUCCUCUCAUUGAAGGAAUGACGCAUGUAAUUUAUUUAUUUAUUUCCUUCCUCUCCCCUCAAUUUCUCUUCACUCUCUCUCUUCAGCCCCA